AUUGAACGCUGGCGGCAGGCCUAACACAUGCAAGUCGAACGAGUGGCGGACGGGUGAGUAAUGUCUGGGAAACUGCCAGAUGGAGGGGGAUAACUACUGGAAACGGUAGUUAAUACCGCAUACCAUCGGAUUUGCGCAGAUGGGAUUAGCUAGUAGGUGGGGUAAAGGCUCACCUAGGCCCCGAUCCCUAGCUGUUCCGAGAGGAUGACCAGCCACACGGGAACUGAGACACGGUCCAGACUCCUACGGGAGGCAGCAGUGGGGAAUAUUGCACAAUGGGCGCAAGCCUGAUGCAGCCAUGCCGCGUGUAUGAAGAAGGCCUUCGGGUUGUAAAGUACUUUCAGCGGGGAGGCGGUACCCGCAGAAGAAGCACCGGCUAACUCCGUGCCAGCAGCCGCGGUAAUAC
rnacentral:rRNA from 1 species